rnacentral:rRNA from 1 species
ACGCUGGCGGCGUGCCUAACACAUGCAAGUCGAACGGACGAGGGGAGCUUGCUCCCUGAGUUAGUGGCGAACGGGUGAGUAACGCGUGAGGAACCUGCCUUUCAGUGGGGGACAACAGUUGGAAACGACUGCUAAUACCGCAUAAGUGCACAGUACCGCAUGGUACAGUGUAAAAAACUCCGGUGGUGUGAGAUGGACCCGCGUCUGAUUAGCUAGUUGGCGGGGUAACGGCCCACCUAGUCUACGAUGUCUAGGGGUUCUGAGAGGAAGGUCCCCCACACUGGAACUGAGACACGGUCCAGACUCCUACGGGAGGCAGCAGUGAGGAAUAUUGGUCAAUGGUCGGAAGACUGAACCAGCCAAGUAGCGUGAAGGAUGAAGGUUCUAUGGAUUGUAAACUUCUUUUAUAAGGGAAUAACAGAUGCUACGUGUAGCGUUUUGCAUGUACCUUAUGAAUAAGCAUCGGCUAACUCCGUG